CUCAAAGGAAUUGACGGGGACCCGCACAAGCGGUGGAUGAUGUGGUUUAAUUCGAUGCAACGCGAAAAACCUUACCUACCUUUGACAUGUACGGAACUCGCCAGAGAUGGCUUGGUGCUCGAAAGAGAACCGUAACACAGGUGCUGCAUGGCUGUCGUCAGCUCGUGUCGUGAGAUGUUGGGUUAAGUCCCGCAACGAGCGCAACCCUUGUCAUUAGUUGCUACAUUUAGUUGGGCACUCUAAUGAGACUGCCGGUGACAAACCGGAGGAAGGUGGGGAUGACGUCAAGUCCUCAUGGCCCUUAUAGGUAGGGCUACACACGUCAUACAAUGGAUGGUACAAAGGGUCGCCAACCCGCGAGGGGGAGCCAAUCCCAUAAAACCAUUCGUAGUCCGGAUCGCAGUCUGCAACUCGACUGCGUGAAGUCGGAAUCGCUAGUAAUCGUGGAUCAGAAUGUCACGGUGAAUACGUUCCCGGGUCUUGUACACACCGCCCGUCACACCAUGGGAGCGGGUU
rnacentral:rRNA from 1 species